UACAUACUCCCUCCAUUCGGAAUUACUCGUCCAAGAAAUGAAUGUAUCUAGAUGUAUUUUAGUUGUAGAUACAUCCAUUUUUGUGACAAGUAAUUCCGAAUAGAGGGAGUACUAC
rnacentral:pre_miRNA from 1 species